GUAGGGAAUAUUGGGCAAUGGUCGGAAGACUGACCCAGCCAUGCCGCGUGCAGGAAGACGGCCCUCUGGGUUGUAAACUGCUUUUAUCUGGGAAGAAAAAGGCCAUGCGUGGCAAAUUGCCGGUACCAGAUGAAUAAGCACCGGCUAACUCCGUGCCAGCAGCCGCGGUAAUACGGAGGGUGCGAGCGUUGUCCGGAUUUAUUGGGUUUAAAGGGUGCGUAGGCGGCUGAUUAAUUCAGCGGUGGAAGACUUCGGGUUAACCGGAGCAGUGCCGUUGAUACUGGUUGGCUUGAGUGUCGGAGGGGUACAUGGAAUUGAUGGUGUAGCGGUGAAAUGCAUAGAUACCAUCAGGAACACCGAUAGCGAAGGCAUUGUACUGGCCGACAACUGACGCUGAUGCACGAAAGUGUGGGGAUCGAACAGGAUUAGAUACCCGGGUAGUCC
rnacentral:rRNA from 1 species